CAGGCGUCUCCAAACCCAGCUCACCACGUGGCUCCCUCUCCUCCCCCUGCCCUGCGCCCCAGGCUGGGUGUGCUCCGCGCUCCCUGGUGACUGACUUCCCAUGGAGGAGGAUGUGGAGAGAGCCCCUGUCCGUGCCAGUCACCUUCUGCUCUGAGCACGCAACCCAUCCCGGGAAGAUCACCCAGCCAGGCGAACUACUGGAGCCCCGGUUCCUUCAAACCCCAAAGGCGCAGGACUCGCUGACCUGGCCUGGCGCGCCCUCGCUUUGGAGGCAGAGCAGAAAGCGGCAGCCCCACCGUGGCUGUGCUCCAGGGACCCCAGGAGCCAGCGCCCCCCGAGUCUGCCCGCGCGCCCCAGUUCCUCAAGGGGAGUUGUCUUCAUUAAUCUCUCCUCUCUCCCUGGGAGCCUCCUUCUCACCUCAUCUUGCCCAUCAAACUACUCUGCACGCAAGGGUGAUUUAUAAGGAAGGGGCAAGAAGCAAAUCGUGGAAAGGUCUGGAUGUGUGAUUUACACCUGUUCCCGGACCAAAGUUCCAUUGGCGUAUUUGCACCGCAGAGCAAACUUGCCAAAGGCCUGGUGAGGUUUUCUUGUGAUAAUACCCCGCUCUUGUAGCUGGUGCCCCCAGGUCCCAUUUCCCCAGAGAUCGUCACCCCGCUUAUCUUUCACUGGGGCAUGAGAGAGCUGUGACAGCCUCCAAGGUGACUUGCUCUGCGACUUGGCGCCAGACCUGCCUCCCCAGCUACCGUUGCAGCAGCCCUGGGAUGAGCAAGAAUCCUCUGCAGUUUACCCUUGGCCUUCACAGUUCCAUUCAAUCCUGUGCAAUAAGUGUUAUCUUCAUAGUUGAUUCUGUAAACGGCCGCUGAUGAAGGCCAUGGUCACUAAUGAACUUGCAGGAUCUUUUGCACCAGGAAUUCUCAAAAGGCUUUCUCUGGCAGAUAAUAAUGGAAUUGGGGGAGAAGGGGUGCACAGCCUCCCAAGAAGUGCAAGAAGCAGGAAAACCGUGGCCUGGGGAGGAAAAGGAACUGAAGGGAAGAGACAACCACCAAAGGACCUAAGGAGGAGAUGGAUCUAUUUUUCCUUAUCAAAUGCCACCAAGCCUUAUGAACAAAGGUCA